rnacentral:rRNA from 3 species
GUAAGGGAAAGAAAUCAAGUGCAAAGAAGUAACUGCUUGCACCUGACGGUACCUAACCAGAAAGCACGGCUAACUACGUGCCAGCAGCCGCGGUAAUACGUAGGUGGCAAGCGUUGUCCGGAAAUUAUUGGGCGUAAAGGGCUCGCAGGCGGUUUCUUAAGUCUGAUGUGAAAGCCCCCGGCUCAACCGGGGAGGGUCAUUGGAAACUGGGAAACUUGAGUGCAGAAGAGGAGAGUGGAAUUCCACGUGUAGCGGUGAAAUGCGUAGAGAUGUGGAGGAACACCAGUGGCGAAGGCGACUCUCUGGUCUGUAACUGACGCUGAGGAGCGAAAGCGUGGGGAGCGAACAGGAUUAGAUACCCUGGUAGUCCACGCCGUAAACGAUGAGUGCUAAGUGUUAGGGGGUUUCCGCCCCUUAGUGCUGCAGCUAACGCAUUAAGCACUCCGCCUGGGGAGUACGGUCGCAAGACUGAAACUCAAAGGAAUUGACGGGGGCCCGCACAAGCGGUGGAGCAUGUGGUUUAAUUCGAAGCAACGCGAAGAACCUUACCAGGUCUUGACAUCCUCUGACAACCCUAGAGAUAGGGCUUUCCCUUCGGGGACAGAGUGACAGGUGGUGCAUGGUUGUCGUCAGCUCGUGUCGUGAGAUGUUGGGUUAAGUCCCGCAACGAGCGCAACCCUUGAUCUUAGUUGCCAGCAUUCAGUUGGGCACUCUAAGGUGACUGCCGGUGACAAACCGGAGGAAGGUGGGGAUGACGUCAAAUCAUCAUGCCCCUUAUGACCUGGGCUACACACGUGCUACAAUGGACAGAACAAAGGGCUGCGAGACCGCAAGGUUUAGCCAAUCCCACAAAUCUGUUCUCAGUUCGGAUCGCAGUCUGCAACUCGACUGCGUGAAGCGUGGAUAUUC